rnacentral:siRNA from 1 species
UCUCUCUAUGUUGUCUUCAGGGAU